UUAACAAAAAUGCUUUGAAGGUGAUUUACUGUUCUACAAUAUUGCCAAAUGGUUUAACUGCUAAUGUGACAGCAGCAGCAGUCAGGCUGUGCAGGUUUGUGCUCGCUCCAGGCACACAGGCGGCGUACUCGAGGCAGAGCCACUGCUGUGCCUUGCAAACAAGCUGCCUCAUACCUGCCAGUGUAAGACCUUGAUUAAAGCUGAAAGCGGUUUGUGAUGUUGCCAAAUGUUAUAAUUCUCCCAUUCCACAUCAGGUGUUUCCUAAAAGAGUAUUCUCAGGAUGCUUUUUUUUCAGUUUCAGAAAAAAAUAUUCAAGGAAUAAUGUGUUAGGCAGAUAAGAAUUAUCACUCACGUUUCUGUUCUGUUCAUUUUAGAUACCAACAGCAGUUUGUCAGAAACUCGCAGGGUCCACAUACUUUUGAGAAAGAAAGAAAUUUUCUCAGAUAUGCUUACUCCUGUUAGAGAUUUUCCCAUAAAGAAAAUACACUAGAUUGAACAAAAAACCCAAAAAACUCUGCGAUUUAUCUGCAGUCAGCUGAGACUAAUAUUGGACACCUGGGCAUGUGAGGGAUUUAGAAGGAUGUCCACACUGCUCCUGAGCUCUGCCACAGGCCUGAACACAGGAGCUGGGAACAGUGGGGAUCUAUCCUGUUUUCCCUGGGGUGCUGCUCCCCACAGUGGGCAGUGAUAAAGGAUGCGGGAUGUGACCCUGCCUGCAUCCCUGAGCAGUGUGAGGAGGGAGCUGGAGAGCCACAGCACUUCAGGCUGAGCCAGUGCAACACUGCUCACAAUCUAAAUCAGCUAGAGAGAACAGCUUAUGCAAGAGAGAUCCAGCAAAAAAUUGUAAUGACUGCUUGUACUUGUCAGCAGACUAAAACAGACUUCAGUUUCAAGAAAGAAAAAUUAACUCCUGAUCUGUCACAUAGAGAUAUUUUCUUCUCUAUACAAAUGACCAUUAAGGUGAGAUGGUGAGGUGUGCUAAAUAUUCUAUUGAUUUUUCCUGGUGGAGUUGUAGACUUGGUUACAAAAUAUAAAAUUAAGGAAAAAAUGCUGCCAGAAUCCAAACCUGGAUUUCAUUAAAAUGUGUUGUCAUUUCUCUAUAAAAUACAUCUGCUACAGUAUUCCAGAAAUUUUAGACACACAAUAGAGUAAUAAACUGCUUUUAUAACUUGGGUAAUACUCUACCAUAGAUUCCUGAUUUCCCCCCUACUGUUUGUCUGAAAUUACCUCAGUACAAAAACGUUCAUACACUGCGAGGGAGGAACAAAUGGGUUGUCAUUUGAAUUGGUGAAAUUUUUAAAAAUUGUGGAUGAGACAUGUUUUAUAGAGAGGACAACCAACACUGGAAGUUGCUCAGCCUGUAAUUCACUGCAGAUAGGUCAGCAGCGCGGGUCCCUGCCUGCGCUCCCUGGGAGCUGUGUUCCUGGUUUGCCUGCACUGGGUCAGCUCCACUACUGGAAGCAAGGGUGACAAACCGAGCCUGUGUGAAGGUUACUUUCAUUGCUGGUGCUUUCCCCAGUUGCAGAUGCCACUGCUGCCCACUGAGUGAAUGGAUUUUCCUUGGGGACACAGAGGCUGGCUGACCCUCUGCCCCUGUGCUGGCUGCUCUGAGGUAACAGUGCUGUCUUCUGGGUGCCCUGCAUGGCAAAGCCAGUGUGUUCCCUCACAACAGCAGCAGCUGGAAGAGAUGUUCUUAACAUUGUCUUCCACAUUUCCUGUGCAGACAAAUCCCUUCCCUGCCUGCUUCCUGGAUUAUUGUGAUCCUAUCCUUGGACACGACACCAAAGUCUGAGAAGGGGGUGAGUGUCUCCAUCAAAUAGACACAUUCCUGUUCAUGGUUUGGUGGGAACAUUUCCAUGCGUAAGUGUUAACAGAUUAGGUUGAUAGUUAUUUCAGUAUCUUUCCCCAAAUAUUUGCUAUUUUCCCUUCCCAUGGAAGAGUCAUAUUAAAGUACUUUUAAGCUUUUUUUUCUGAAGAAGAAAAUUCCAACUGACUGUACCAACAUGUAUAUAUUUUAUAUGCAGCUCCCUGGCUAUGCUUCUCUUUAUCUUGCCAUACACUCCUAGAAGUUUCCAGUCUGUGGCACAUGCUGUUCCUAUUGAAAAUAGCAAAUGGAUAAAGAUGUCCUGCAUGCUGAGAACAGAUCAUCCUGUGGUCAUGCAAACAGCUGUGUCAGUAUAAAAGCAUGACAGUGAGGAGUGGUGGAAGACAAGAAGGGAAGCACUGCUGCCCAGUACCGUUUGAUUUCCCCCUGUUCUUCACCCCAGUGCUCUGCCACCCCUCACUGCAGUGCACGUGGGGGCUGCAGCACCUCCAGAUGAUUAGGGAUUAAAAUAAGCAGAACAAGAGCCAGUUGUUGUUUUGGGGAAGAGGAAAGCAGUUGAUGUCAAAAUGUUUCACCGACUUGGCAAAAAUGCCAAGUUGGCCCUGCCUGCAGAAUACAAGGACUUCAAAGGGCUUAUCUUGAAUAAGAAUUGAGGGAGCCAGAUCACUGUUUCCUACAUGUAUUCAGCUAAGGUUAAAUGAUAUGCAAGGCUACAUCCCAAGGGAGUGUUUUCCUGCUGAUGCCAUCCAAGUUGCUGACACCUCUACCUGCAGGUUUGUGGGAUCAGUCUUGCUAUAGCUGUGCACACCCAGAGGGAGCUCAGUUCUGACCCAGCACCGGGAAGAGUGGGUCACACUCUCACACAGCUGGUCACACCAGGAGUGCUGCUCCACAGUGGGAACACUGAAACAGAUGGCGAGGCCCGUGCUCCAGCGGUGAGCCUGUAUUCAGGAGGGGCGUGUGGUUCUUAAACAGGAUGCAGGCUGAAUAACCCUCCAUUCCUGAAGAGGGUGGUCCCCGAAGGUCAGGGCUGCCUUCAAUGGUGUGGCAGCAUGAGAGGAAACUGCCUCAGAGGGUGCUUUCAUAAUGCUCAGACUAUGAAUAAAUUCAGCCUGUUGUACUCUGGGUUCCCAAGUGUUACUCAUAAAAUAUGUGAAUAAGGAGAAUAAGGUUAGGAAAAGAACAAUUCUCCAGCCAAACUUUCUUUACAGGAUGAACAGGGGUCCUCCUCCCCCACCCUUUGUCUGAUUUCAGACAAAGGGCUUUGCAUCCUGUGCAGGAGUUCUCUUUGCUGCCUGGAAGGAACAUAUGGAUUGUAGGUGAUACAAACCUGGAAGAGCUUAGCUCACUGAGUAACAGAAUACCUGGGGUUGGAAGGGACUCCUUGAUGUGUUCUAGUGCAAACCUCUACUCAAGCAGCAUCACCUACAGCAGGUUUCUCAGGACCAUGUCCAGUCAGAUUUUGCAAAUCCCCACUAAUGGAGGCUUUGCAGCCUCUCUGGGCAGCUGAACAGACAGGCAGUGACCAAAGACCUGAUGUCAGCACAGAUAACUUUGACACUUUUCCUCUUUGGUAAAUUAUUAAAGUACAACCUGAAGAAAUGUACUUGAUAUUCACUCAUUUACUCUGGUUCUGCUGAGACUGGGUAUAAAAUUAUGUGGACCAAGGCUGAUCCAUACUUAACCGAGUUGCAUAUUUCUGGGAAAAAGACAGUCAAAGAGACAGCUGGGUGCUACGUGGGAUUAACACACUGUGUUCCCAUGGGAACUCUCCCAGUUCAAGACAGGAGCAGUCAUUCCUCCAGUCAGUGCUGUGCUAAUAUAGUGGAAGGAGGACCAAGGGUCUCUGAACCUGUUACACCAAUAAAUCCAGAAAAACAAUGAAGAUUUUUCAUCCUUUAAAAGAUGAAGAGCUUUCUAAGGAUGUUUGUCCCUUAAAUUCCAGAAGAUGAGGGAACAGAUAGGGUCAUGCUUUCUAUUCCCAUGCUUUGGAGCCAACACUUUACCCUGACCAUCACUGUUACCAAGGCAGCAUCACAGUUCUGGCAGGAGAUCUUAUCUGAAUUUUUAACAGAGGCACAUUUAGGCUAUUCAAGACAGUUUUAUAUUGCUCAAGCUAAAGUCAGUAAAAUGUUUCAUUCAAUUAGCGAGCAAACACAGUCUGUCAAUUUCCUCUGUGCAAUGCACAGAAAUCUCUCUGCUUCCUCCCCAAGUACAGUACAGCAUGUCUGAACCACUGGCUACUAUAAUUAGGAUGGGGAAAACAUUUACGUGGCACUAUAAAGGUGAAUGGCUUUGCAAGUGCAAAAACAUUAAAGCUGUUCCCAAAGAAUUCAGAGUCAAACUCUGAAUGUGAUCAAGAAAAAAACACAAGGCAAAGGAAAAAUGGAUCCUGCAGAGAUGAAGAAUCACCAGGGCAGCAGGUCUAAAUGGAGAAGGGAACUCCUGAGCUGAAUGACUGGAUGUCACUCAGAAACACUGACUGGUUUCUUUCCUAAUCUGCCAUGGACCUCAUAGGUGACCUUCUCCUGAACGGUUCAAGGGUUCUGUGUAUGAGUUCUCCUGUAAAACUGGCAUUACUUCAACUCACUCAGUUUCCAAAUUAAAGGCAGGCUAUGAAGAUAAUAUAGGGAAGAUAAUAUCAGAAGGCAUUCAGGAAGCAAGAGAGGGAACAGGGGCAAAGGAAAACCUUUGGAGAGUGAGAAGGCAGGGAGCCAAUGGCAAGAAUAACAAAUGAGAUGGGAUCCUUCAAGUGUAGGGGAGGAGAAGGUAGAUUAACAAAUUUUUGGUUAGGCUCAAGGGAGUACAAAAACCUGAAAGAGAAGCUGUCGGUGAAUAACAGUAGCUAAAACAGGUAAUGGCCAGAGCAUAAAGAACUGUAGUCAUGGUGAUAGAAAAGCAAGGACCACUUCAAGAAGUACUAAGGAACUAAAUGCUUCAGAUUAGGCCUUUCAUGAGACACCAGUAAUGUGAAAAGGAAAGAAGAUUAAAAAAACCCUUCCCGAACCCAGAAAAAAAUAGAGGAAUUACAGAAAUCAGAUUUGAGAGAACUGAUACUUCUAUAUCAAACAAAAACAAGAACAAGAAUUAAUAUGUAAUAGUAGCAAGAACUUCAGGAGAAGAAAUUUUAAAAGCCACAGGGAUCUACAACUGGCUAGUCAUGAACAGAAUACAAGAUCAUUUACCCUCUAUAAAGGUGCAGGCAGAAAUGAACAGGUGCAAUCUGGGGAAGAACAAGGAACAAUCAGCAGUGCCAUGUUUCAGGGGCCACCAGACAAAAAUCUCCAUGUACACAUUUUGUGUCACCCUGGGCACAUGCCUCCCCUCAUUUCUCAAGAUGAGGAUUCAGCCUGAUGUUUCAAAUGGUCAUGAGGAGCAGAAGUAACUGAAAUUCCAACAAGAAAACACUUGUUGCAUACGAACACAGUCUUAGCUUGCAUUUCACAACAUUGCACAAGGCUUAAAAAGUAAUCUCCAAAUUUGCACACCCAUAUCACUGUGUACACAGAGAAUGGCUAAACAGACCCGGUGUGCCUUGAAAUUCAUGUCAUAGCCAGAGCCUGCCCUCUUGCUCCAUAUGCACCAAGGGCUUGGCAUUGCAGAGAGCAUUCGAGUAUCUGGAUUUUAAUGCGAAUCUUUGAGAAGUGGAAAAUAGACAGAAGAGCAAUUAGACUGCUAUUGUUAGGCUAAAGGGAGCAUGGUGAAAAACUGUGCAUUAAUUGCAGUACUUGAAGCAAAAAAUGGCCAGAGCACAGAGAAGACUUUUAAAAAGGGAAGAAAGGAAGAUCCAGGGAACUACAGGCAUGUCAGUCUUAUCUCUGUGCACAGCAAGAUCACAGAGCAGAUCCUCCUGGGAACUAUGCUAAGACCCAUGGAAAAUGAGGUGACUGGUGGCAGCUAACAUGGUUUCACUAAGGGCAAAUCAUACCGACAACAGGAUUACAACAGUAGUGGAUAAAGGAAGAGCAACAGACAUAAUCCAUGUGGACUUGUGCAAGACAUUUGACAUUGUCCCAUAUGACAUUCUCAUUUCUAAGAUGGAGACAUGGAUUUGAUGGGUGGACCACUUAAUAGAUUGGAAAUUGGCUGGAUGGUCACACUCAAAGAGUUGUGGUCAACAGCUUAAUGUCCAAGGGGAGACAAAUGACAAGUGGCAUUCUUCAGGGAUUGGUGACUGGUGCUGUUUAACAGCGUUGUCAGUGAUGUGGCAUGGAGUGCGCCCUCAGCAAGUUUGCCAGUGACAUCAAGUUGUGUAGGGAACUGUAGGGAAGGGAUGUUAUCCAGAGAAACCUUGACAGGCUUGAGACAGGCUUGGCAGGCCCUUGACAAGGCCCAUGUGAACUGCAUGAAGUUCAAAAAGUCCAAGUGUACCUGCCCUUGCCCUGCACCUGCAUCAGGGCAAUCCCAAGCACAAAUAGAGGCUGGAUUAAGAGCAGCACU